rnacentral:lncRNA from 7 species
CAGGAUGGAUGUCUACAGUAGGAGGGGCGCAUUGCCUCCCAGAGAUGUUAGUCUCUGCAAUGGACUGUAGGAGAACCAUGAAGAGAGCCAUCUCUAAGCUGAGCGUCUACUUUAAGGCAAAUAAAAUGAGCAGUACUCACGGGGAAGGCACAACUUCAACUUCCAUUAUAUGGAUAGCUUGACAUUUUGAUUCAGAGCGAAUGAAAGCAUUUAGGAAUUCACCUAUUAAAAUAGUUCUGGUAAUAACUAAAUACAUUUACUAAGUAUUAAAUAGAACUGGAAAAUUCAUGCAGACAUGUUGUACCUAAAGCCAAACAGGCAUUUUCAGUCCUCAUUCUUCUGCCAUGGCUGCUUCUGGAAUUCUGCAUUCAUGAGGAUGUUCUAAUACCAGUAAACCUAAGUGCAUGUGUACUUUAUGUAAAGGACUGGAUGGAAUCCAAGGGCUGUAUUUUUCAGGGCCUGUUCCUUAAUGUCUGGGACCAUGUUCAAGAGGUCAAAUGAGCCCAGAUCUCUUGAUCAGAACAUGGCCAGAAGAGUCCUGGAAGACUCUCCAGCCUUGGGGACUGUUCAAGUUAUGAGUGUUGUUUUUGGAUGAUAGCAAAAGUUUAAUAAAUGCUGCAGCUGCAGAAAGCUCCCUCACUGGAGAAUAUAACUCUCCAUGUCAAUAUAGGAUUUACAUUUCCAGCCUGCAUGUAUCCAGGCUGCAUUACUCAGUCAACGGGGUGGGCAGAUCCAGCGCUUACUUUGGCAGAACAGUUCCUCAAGUCUUGUUUAAUUAGAACUCAGACCAGCUUCCUGGAGAUUGUGGGAACCUCAUUAGCAGCACAAAUAGAAACUUGAAGAGGCCAACUCAGUGGGAAAAGAUUGCUUGCUAAGAACUUUACUUACCAAGAACUUAACCUCUUCAAUAGUUUUGUACAGCUGAAGGAUUUCAGGUUGGAAUACAAGGUCUCUUAAAAUCUUCCAAAUAUUGGAGAGUUGUUGUUUUUUUUUUUUUCCCUGAAAUGUGAAUUAAAACCUCUCAAAAUAGUAGAUAAAGUAGAUUAAAUCCUUCUGGUUCAACAAUUCCAGUUAUUCUUUGGUGUUCUGUCUUGAGUUUUUUAAAUUCUUGGUGUCUACCUUGAUGCUCUUCCACCAUUUGGAGAUGACGAUGGAUGAUUUGCUGUUC